rnacentral:rRNA from 1 species
UACGUAGGGUGCGAGCGUUAAUCGGAAUUACUGGGCGUAAAGCGUGCGCAGGCGGUUUUGUAAGUCAGAUGUGAAAUCCCCGGGCUCAACCUGGGAACUGCGUUUGAAACUACAAGGCUAGAGUGUAGCAGAGGGGGGUAGAAUUCCACGUGUAGCAGUGAAAUGCGUAGAGAUGUGGAGGAAUACCAAUGGCGAAGGCAGCCCCCUGGGUUAACACUGACGCUCAGGCACGAAAGCGUGGGGAGCAAACAGG